AAUGUUGCAUUUUCCAAGACCACCCUGGCCCGCCAUGCCCCCAUUCUGAGCCUAUAAAAACCCGAGACCCUAGCAGGGCAGAGGCAGAAACUGCUGGAUGCUGAGAGGAACGCAUCAGUGGAAGAAAACAAGCGGCUGGACGUGGAGAGGACGUCAAGGGAGCAUGCCGGCGGAAGAGCACACCACAGACGCCGGCAGGCCACCGAGCGGCAGGACCAGGCGGAGUUUGGCCGGGGCAGUCGGAGGAGAGCUAGGCCACUAAGCAGCUCAACUCCAGGAGAUAAACCAUCUCCCUUGUGGCUCCUCCGUCGGCUGAGAGCUGCUUCCACUCAAUAACACUUUGCACUCGUUCUCCAAGCCCCCGUGUGAUCCGAUUCUUCUGGUACACCCAGGCAAGAACCCAGGAUACAGAAAGGCCUCGGUCCUUUCCACAAGUACCUCUACUUGAGGUACUCAUUGACCUGGUUAACACAAGCUGCCUACAGACGCCAAAACUAAGGGCACCCUGGAACACAGGCUUCAGCUGUAAACAUUCACCCCUGGGCACUGCCGUGGGGUGGGAGCCUGCCUGAGUGUAUGCUCCCCUAGAGGUUUGAGCUGCGGGGCACUGAAGAAGUGAGCCACACUCCCAUCGCACACUGCGAGGGGGACAAAGGAACUUUUCCUCUUUUAACUGGGGCCUCAUCUGGAAUCUCGGAAGGUGAAUGUCUGCCUUCGAAAACCCUACCACCUGUCUUUCUUGUGGAACCAUCAAACUCCAAGUGGACAGGCAACUGGAGCCUCAGAUAAUGACUCCCCUUUGCUAGGAACCCUUAGACAGACCUCUGGGAGGAAUUUGACUGCCGUUUUCUCAAAAACAACGCCCCCUGUCAGCGGGAAGCAGCUAAGACAGGUCAUCGUCCAUAUUCUAAUAGCAGUUAGAUGUACGUUUUCAGAGAGGGGAAAUGAUACAGGAGUGCGGGGAAGGGAAGAGUGUCAUCUCUUUAAAUGAUACAGAAGGGAGGUGCUGGGUAGAAGAGGGUGUGGUCCCUGGCUAGGGCUCCACCCCCACGGACCUAGGUGAGGGCAGGCACUUUCUCCUUCUCACCCAAAUGUUGCAUUUUCCAAGAUCACCCUGGCCUGCCAUGCCCCCAUCCUGGGCCUAUAAAAACCCUGAGACCCUAGCAAGGCAGAGAUAGAAGCUGCCGGAUGCUGAGAGAAACACAUCAGUGGAAGGGAAGAAGAAAAGCGGCUGGACAUGGAGAGGACGUCAGUGGAGCAUGCCGGCGGAAGAGCACACCCACAGACCCUGGCACGCCGGCAGGCCACGUAGCGGCAGGCCACGUAGCGGCAGGCCACGUAGCGGCAGGCCACGUAGCGGCAGGCCAAGGCGGAGUUUGGCCGGGGCAGUCGGAGGAGAGCUAGGCCACUAAGCAGCUCAACUCCAGGAGAAAACCAUCUCCCUUCUGGCUCCUCCAUCAGCUGAGAGCUGCUUCCACUCAAUAACACUUCGCACUGAUUCUCCAAGCCCAGGUGUGAUCCGAUUCUUCUGGUACACCCAGGCAAGAACCCAGGAUACAGACAGCCCUCUGUCCUUUUGAUAACUAGAGGGUCUCAUUGACCUGGUUAACACAAGCUGCCUACAGACGGCAAAACUAAAAGAGCACCCUGGAACACACGCCCACUGGGGCUUCAGCUGUAAACAUUCACCCCUAGACACGGCUAUGGGGUUGGAGCCUGCCUGUCUGUAUGCUCCCCUAGAGGUUUGGGCAGCAGGGCACUGAAGAAUCAAGCCACACCCCCAUCGCACACCCUGCGAGGGGGACAAGGGAACCUUUCUCUUUUCAGUUGGUCUUAAUAAACACUGAGUAAAUGAAU
ensembl:lncRNA LINC02575 long intergenic non-protein coding RNA 2575